rnacentral:rRNA from 1 species
GACGUAGGGUGCAAGCGUUGUCCGGAUUUACUGGGCGUAAAGAGCGCGUAGGCGGUCUGUUAAGUGUAGAGUGAAAUCUCCAGGGCUCAACCCGGAAACUGCUCUGCAUACUGGCAGACUGGAGGGACUGAGAGGUGAAUGGAAUUCCUGGUGUAGCGGUGAAAUGCGUAGAUAUCAGGAGGAACACCCAUGGCGAAGGCAGUUCACUGGCAGUCUCCUGACGCUGAGGCGCGAAAGCGUGGGUAGCAAACAGG